rnacentral:rRNA from 1 species
CACGUAGGGGGCGAGCGUUGUCCGGAUUCAUUGGGCGUAAAGGGCGCGCAGGCGGCCCGGAAAGUCGGAUGUGAAAACUCGAGGCUCAACCUCGAGCGUGCACCCGAUACUGCCGGGCUUGAGGCAGGUAGGGGAGAUCGGAAUUCCUGGUGUAGCGGUGAAAUGCGCAGAUAUCAGGAGGAACACCUAUUGCGAAGGCAGCUCGCUGGGACGUAACUGACGCUGAGACGCGAAAGCGUGGGGAGCAAACAGG